rnacentral:rRNA from 1 species
GGGUGGAAGUAAAAAAUCGUAACAAGGUCUCCGUUGGUGAACCAGCGGAGGGAUCAUUACCGAGUUUACAACUCCCAAACCCAAUGUGAACGUUACCAAACUGUUGCCUCGGCGGGGUCACGCCCCGGGUGCGUAAAAGCCCCGGAACCAGGCGCCCGCCGGAGGAACCAACCAAACUCUUUCUGUAGUCCCCUCGCGGACGUAUUUCUUACAGCUCUGAGCAAAAAUUCAAAAUGAAUCAAAACUUUCAACAACGGAUCUCUUGGUUCUGGCAUCGAUGAAGAACGCAGCGAAAUGCGAUAAGUAAUGUGAAUUGCAGAAUUCAGUGAAUCAUCGAAUCUUUGAACGCACAUUGCGCCCGCCAGUAUUCUGGCGGGCAUGCCUGUCCGAGCGUCAUUUCAACCCUCGAACCCCUCCGGGGGAUCGGCGUUGGGGAUCGGGACCCCUCACCGGGUGCCGGCCCUGAAAUACAGUGGCGGUCUCGCCGCAGCCUCUCCUGCGCAGUAGUUUGCACAACUCGCACCGGGAGCGCGGCGCGUCCACGUCCGUAAAACACCCAACUUCUGAAAUGUUGACCUCGGAUCAGGUAGGAAUACCCGCUGAACUUAAGCAUAUCAAAA